ensembl:lncRNA
CAGUAGCAUAGUGUGGGUCUCUCUCCCUCUCCCUCUCUCCCAGCCAGUAGCAUAGUGUGGGUCUCUCUCCCUCUGCCUCUCUCUCCCAGCCAGUAGCAUAGUGAGGGUCUCUCUCCCUCUGCCUCUCUCUCCCAGCCAGUAGCAUAGUGAGGGUCUCUCUCCCUCUGCCUCUCUCUCCCAGCCAGUAGCAUAGUGAGUGUCUCUCUCCCCAGCCAGUAGCAUAGUGAGGGUCUCUCUCCCUCUCUCCCCAGCCAGUAGCAUAGCAUGGGUCUCUCUCCCAGCCAGUAGCAUAGUGAGGGUCUCUCUCCCAGCCAGUAGCAUAGUGUGAGGGUCUCUCUCUCCUCCCUCUCUCCCCAGCCAGUAGCAUAGCAUGGGUCUCUCUCCCAGCCAGUAGCAUAGUGUGGGUCUCUCUCCCAGCCAGUAGCAUAGUGUGGGUCUCUCUCCCCAGCCAGUAGCAUAGUGUGGGUCUCUCACCCAGCCAGUAGCAUAGUGAGGGUCUCUCUCCCUCUCUCCCCAGCCAGUAGCAUAGCGUGGGUCUCUCUCCCUCGUUUAACGAGGCUAAAAACACACCAACCACUUAGAGGACCAACCAGCUGAUAUGGAACUGUCUACCCUUCUCUAUAUACACAGCCAGCCAGCCAGCCUGCCUGCCUCCCCAUUCCCAUUCCCUCUCCCUCUCUGUCCUCAUUUCCCCAUUCCCUCUCCCUCUCUGUCCUCAUUUCCCCAUUCCCUCUCUCUCUCUGUCCUCAUUUCCCCAUUCCUUCUCCCUCUGGGUCCUAAUUUCCCCAUUCCCUCUCUGUCCUCAUUUCACCAUUCCUUCUCCCUCUCUGUCCUCAUUUCCCCAUUCCUUCUCCCUCUUUGUCCUCAUUUCCCCAUUCCUUCUCCCUCUCUGUCCUCAUUUCACCAUUCCUUCUCCCUCAUUUCAUCAUUCCUUCUCCCUCUCUGUCCUCAUUUCCCCAUUCCUUCUCC